CUUUAACAUAAUGCCAAGGAGGAAAAACAUCAGCAGUGAUCUUGGAGGAGGCAACUGUUACUGCCCAUCAAUCUAGGAAGGGUUAUAAGGUCAUUUCCAAACAAUUUAAAGUCCAUCAUUCAGUUAGAAAGAUUAUUCACAAGUGGAAAACAUUCAAGUCAGCUGUCAAUCUUCCCAAGUGGUCAUCUCAGUGAAUCCACCCCAAGCUUUGGAGACCGUCGUCUACGUGUGGUAGCUGUUUACUGUUACCAGUGAUCAACGUCACAAACAACUGGUUUGUGGACUAUUCUUGCUUUAUACAAAGAGCUGAGAAGUCCACUGCAGCCACUGACUUUGCCAUGCUAUUUAUUUUAAUAUUUGAUGUUUUUCACACUUCUUCUGUUUGUGGUGAAGUCUCCUUUUACUCCUUUUCCUGCUCCACCCCACUUUUAAACCAGUCAGCACAACUUGAGAAAGACUGGACGUAUGACUUGUGUGGAAGGAUUGUUCUGCAAAGUUGCAUCUGAACAAAUCAGAAGACAUCUGGAACAAUGCCCUUUUGACAGUGGAGAUGUUUAACCAUAAUUCACGGCACUACAUAUGGCCAAAACAGAAGAGGAUAUCAACGCCUCAUACAAACUGUCAAGCACGGCGGUGGAAGGGUGAUGAUUUGGGCUUGUUUUGCAGUAACAGUACCUGGGCCCCUUGCAGUCAUUGAGUUGAUCAUGAACUCCUCUGUAUAACAAAAUAUUCUAGAUUCAAAUGUGAGGCCAUCCUUCCAACAUGUAGCUUCACUGAAACUAGAUCAUGGAACAAGACAAUUUCCUCAACCAUAGUAGGAAAUCAACAAAUAAAAAAUAAAUCAAACUGCUGCAAUGGUUCAGACCUCGACCUAAU